UUUCUGUAUAUUCUCUGUUUUUUAACACGGUUCUGUUUUCUCUUUAUUUCAUUUCUCCGUCAACUCAUGUACCAUGACUGGAGUUGACCAACAAUUAAAGAAGAAGACCUGCUCCACCUGCUGAUCUACUGGCUGUAACAGAUUGUGGAAAAGCAUCACCAGCAGCACUGGACCAAUCAGGAGAGAGAAGACACAGAGGACUGAAGGGACACAGAAAAUCCUGCUGGAAAUCCUGAGAUGAAGUUUCCUGAUGUAACCGGGGGAACCUGAGGACACAGAAUAAAGAAGGACCAUGUGAAACUCAUGAAGAGGAUGGUCAGAGUCGUCCAUAGCUUUCUUGACUCUUAUGAAGAAUCCUUCUUUGCUUCAUCUCCAGAGGUU